rnacentral:lncRNA from 10 species
GGCAGAAGGGACUUGCCUUGUCUCAGAUGAGACUUUGAACUGUGGACCUCUGAGUUAAUGCUGAAAUGAGAUAAGCGAAGGGGAACUCUGAGAGCUCUACCGUUUUCCGUAGGUCCCACCACUCAUCAGAGUCACAGAGCAAAGCUGCAUACCUGGGUGCCAGACGCCAGCCACUCUCCACCGGCACUGCGUUGGGGGCUUCCUUAUGAUGGAAACCUGGUCUGGGUUGCUCACCACUGAACCUCCUCACACCUGGAGCCGUGCCUAGCACAAGGAGCUUACGUAUCCUCAGAAGAGAAGAAACAGAGACGAUUGCUGUCUUCAUUUUAGAGACAAAGAACCCGAGGCGUAGAGAGCCAGGUUUGUCUUCUCCUGAGGAAGUGGAUGCCAUGUGUCACUUUGCAGAUGGAUCAAGUGCAGGAGGUGCCUGUUGGAGACGCAGAGCUCUGCAGCAGCAGGUGAGCUGAUGCUGCAACCUGCUAAACGCCGCUCCUGCGGAGCGCCAGGGCCCAGAGUGCACAUGGCUCUCAGGCUCCGUGAAAAGCUUGCAGUGAGCUCAGCCACUGAAAAGUCACUACGAAGAUGGAAAGCAAAAUGAAAACCGAGUCCUCGACACCGCUUCCUGGAGCUGUUCUGUGCAGAAGUUGAGUGAAGAUACUGCAGCGAGCCCUGGGUCUGAACGCCUGUGUGCUGACUCUAGACCUGCUCCUCAGCCCCAGUUUUCUCUGAAAAACCAGGAUUCUAGCACAACUCGUACCCCCAUUCUUUUCAGUCCUGCACCCACCAGCGAGCCGCAAGGCCCAGGAGCUACUGGCCCUGUUUUCCUGUCUCCAGUACUGGCCUUUGAUUUAUGAGAUGUCCCCUGUCUCCCCUGCUUCUGACCUCCCAGGAUGGCAUUUGGUGAUUUCUUGAUGUUCUCUUGCUUUGGCAUUAAAAUAUGGAUGGGAGUGUCAUUUCCAGAUCUUUUCCAGACCUGUGCAAUUCUUUCCAUUCUUCAUAACAGCCCAUGACCCACCUUCCUCUGUUUCAGCCACAAAGCUAGCCAUGCCUGUGUGCGCACUGCUGUUUCUCAUUGUUAAUAUUUUAACUGUUAUUAAAAAAAAAACUUUCUUUUAAACUGUGUGUGUAUGGUUUUAAAAAUUGACGCACUUCCAGAGCUCUCAACUUCUGCAGUCUUUCUGAGGUCCGUGUUCCUCUUCUUCAGCUGGGAAGCAAAUGCUUGACUU